UACGUAGGGUGCGAGCGUUGUCCGGAAUUAUUGGGCGUAAAGCGCUUGUAGGCGGUCUGUCGCGUCUGCUGUGAAAAUCCGGGGCUCAACCCCGGACUUGCAGUGGGUACGGGCAGACUAGAGUGUGGUAGGGGAGACUGGAAUUCCUGGUGUAGCGGUGAAAUGCGCAGAUAUCAGGAGGAACACCAAUGGCGAAGGCAGCUCGCUGGGACGGUAUUGACGCUGAGACGCGAAAGCGUGGGGAGCAAACAGG
rnacentral:rRNA from 1 species